AUUUGGUUGCCUUUCCCGGGGAGAGGUGGCAGGUGCUCAGCUCUGCAGGCGUGGGGGCAAGGAAGGACCAAGCAGCCCGAGAAGAGCAGAGGUGCCCCAUGGGGACCACGAUGACUUGUCACAUGUGCACCAAAGCCAGCCCAAGGCAGGGCCUGUGCAGGGCUUCUGCGGAGCCCUCCUGAGGCUCUAACAUCUAUGAGUGGGCAGCCAGCAUAGGCGCAGGCCCCUGCAGAGAGGAACAGAGACGCCAGGAACACGCUGUCGUCCAAUGCCAGCCCCAAGCGGGGCCUGCUCUGGGUGCAGUGUUGGGAGCAGUCCUGCAGCUCUGAGAUCCAUUAGUUGGAGGUGGGAGAAGUGCCAGAUUCCACUGAUUUGGAACCUGCCCAGUCUGAUUCCGGAGCCGUGACUUACAGCAUAUUGGCUACCAGAAGACACCCAAAGGUUGGCCAAAAACAAAGUUUUCAAAAUACAAAAUGGAUGCUAAGAUUUCAUUACGGUAGACGAAAUGUCUGACAGCUCUUGUAUUUAAACCUACAAGUGGAUCCAGCUAAGAGUGCGGAGGGAGAAGCCGUCCUGCAGCUCUGAGAUCCACGAAGUAGAGGUGGUAGUAGCACCGGACCCCACUGCUUUGGAGCCUGCCCAAUCGAAUUUGGGAGCCAGCGAGGUUCCUGACUGCAGCACAUUGGCCACCAGAAGACACACAAAGGUAGGGAGGCUUCGGAUACCACUUAAGUUUAGGAACUCCUCUGGUUGCUGCUGGCCCAAAGUUCCCCCAGAGGCAUUCAAGGCCUGGGGCUCCUGCCUCCUGCCCCUAGUUUGCUAUCCUAAGCCCAGGCCUCAAGCAGGAGGACUGGCUCUGCCUCACCUCCCCACCCCUUCUUUUUUCCCUGCUGUGUGCAGCCAGUUUCUUUCCUCCUACCUACCCCAAUGCCCAGUUCUGGGCACUCCACUUCUUCCCCUAGGCUGUCUGAAAACCACAUUUUUAGGAUACAAAAUGUAUGCUAUAGAUUUCAUUGCUGUAGAGGAAAUGUCUGACAGCUGUUGUAUUUAAACUUAAGUAGCCACACUGGGACUCAUAAUUUCAUAUCUUGAGUUCUAGACCAGAGCCCUCUCUCCUAAAGCAAUGUCAGAGGGUCAGAGGUAAUCUUCUUGAUUCUAAUAAUAAUAAAUGAUUUUUUGUACAGACAGGGUUUCACUGUGUUGCCCAGGCUUGUCUCAAACUCCUGGCCUCAACUGAUCCACCCAUCUUGGCCUCCCACUUUGCUGGCAUGAUAAGCAGGAACUACCACACCUGGCCUUUGGAGGUGCUCUAGCUUUGUGUGUUUUGGCUAAUCUUCCUGCACAGCUGUCAGUAAGAUGCUCCUGCAGUAUGGUUCCAAACCUUUCUACACAAUCCUGUGAUAUUUUUACAUGGAAGAGCCUUUUGUUUACUGCAGAGAAGCUAGACAAUUCACAGUUAGUAACCUAAGGCCUAGAAAAUUUUGUUUCUUGAUCAAAACAACUGUUUAUAGAUGCUUGUGGUCCAAAGAUGCAGAUUCCUAAUCAUAAAAAAGAAGAAGUGAUGUCCACUGCAGGCAACCAGGGAGGGAGUUUAGGAUUGUUCUGAGGCCGUGAAAGCCAUUGAAAUUCACCCAUAAGAAGGCAGAGCAAGGGAAUCCACAUGUCUUGAUCCCUCCAUGUGGAGGGUAUAAUUGGGUCUUCAUGAAGGUGCACCACCUUUGGGGUCAGAGAGAAUUGGAUUUGAAUCCCAGUUCCAACACUCACUACAAAGUGAUGGUGAAUGAGUUUUUAAAUCCUCUGAGCCUCAGUUUGCUCAUCUGUAAAAGAAGUGAUUCUUAUGAGGCUUGUAUUAGUUUAGUGUGUAAAAAUCUGGGAAUAAUGCCUGUAAUUUAAAAGACAGGUUGUUAUGAGGCUUCAAUAAGGUAAGUGUGUAAAAAUCUGGACACAAUGCCUUUAAUUUUGUAAUUGUACAAUAUAUGAAGGUGGAGGAUUAUUUUUCUCUCCUUUUAUUUUUAGAACAAGUUUAUACAAUUGGCAUUAUUCCUAUUUUUAAGAUAAUCAAAGGACCAACAAGUUGAAAUAAAUCACCAUACUCACAAAGCAGUUCACAAUAUAUUUACUGGGUAAUUGCUACUUAAAAGUAGCAAUGAUGAUCACAUUGAAAAUCUUGUAUUACGUGGUGGUUUUCUCUUCCACGAGCCUCUUCAUUUGUGGAAACCAUAGAGUCUAAGUUGCUCUAUAAAAGUGUUCAUUAGAAAAAUGUGAUGCACUUAGUGUAUAAAUUUUAGAAAAUUUCCACUGUUAGUCUUGUUAAUUUGAUUGAAUAUGUGCGUUUUGGAUUAUGAAUGUGAAUAUGUAUUGAUAUAUGAAAUAAGACUUGACAUCAUACAGUAAUCUCAGCUCAUGGCAAUGUUUUCUUCUGAAAACACCUGCUGAAAUCUGUAUUAUUUCUAGUUUCCAAAAAAAAUCAGUCACAACGGGGCCAAGGGGAUGUUUGAAUGUCAGAUACUGCAUGAGGCACAUUAGUGUACAGUAAUUUGCGCAUAAUUCAUAUUCAUAAUUCACAGUGAGGAAAUCUGAAAGUUGCUACCAGCUACUAAUAAAUGGAAGGUGGGGCGGGCUGCUGUGGGGAUG
rnacentral:lncRNA from 1 species